rfam:Endosymbiont of unidentified scaly snail isolate Monju DNA, complete genome.
UGCAUUAUCAGGGAGUGAUGGGGUGAGAAUCCUCGUCAGGGUUCGACAAGGCGCGUAGCGCCGCAGGACGCCGGAGCGAAGCGACGGCGCCCCGAAGGGGUGAGCGGCGUAGCCGCGAAUCAAUCCCUCCCUCUCCGCCA